GAUGAACGCUAGCUACAGGCUUAACACAUGCAAGUCGAGGGGCAGCAUGGGGUUUGCUUGCAAACUCUGAUGGCGACCGGCGCACGGGUGAGUAACGCGUAUCCAACCUGCCCAUGGCUAGGGAAUAGCCCGUUGAAAAGCGGAUUAAUGCCCUAUGGCGUCCUUUGAAGGCAUCUAACGAGGACUAAAGGUUUACCGGCCAUGGAUGGGGAUGCGUCCGAUUAGGUAGUUGGCGGGGUAACGGCCCACCAAGCCCUCGAUCGGUAGGGGUUCUGAGAGGAAGGUCCCCCACAUUGGAACUGAGACACGGUCCAAACUCC
rnacentral:rRNA from 1 species